rnacentral:tRNA from 1 species
ACCUGGGUGGCUUAGUUGGUUAAGCAUAUGACUUUGGCUCAGGCCAUGAUCGUACAGGUUGUGGGUUCAAGUCCCACAUCAGGCU